rnacentral:rRNA from 1 species
UACAGGGGGGGGCAAGCGUUUGUUCGGAAUUACUGGGCGUAAAGGGCUCGUAGGCGGCCAACUAAGUCAGACGUGAAAUCCCUCGGCUUAACCGGGGGAACUGCGUCUGAUACUGGAUGGCUUGAGUUUGGGAGAGGGAUGCGGAAUUCCAGGUGUAGCGGUGAAAUGCGUAGAUAUCAGGAGGAACACCGGUGGCGAAGGCGGGUCUCUGGGCCGAUACUGACGCUGAGGAGCGAAAGCGUGGGGAGCGAACAGG